UGGGGAAUCUUGCGCAAUGCGCGAAAGCGUGACGCAGCAACGCCGCGUGCGGGAAGACGGCCUUCGGGUUGUAAACCGCUUUCAGUUGGGACGAAGCUUCGGUUCGUUAAUAGCGGGCCGGAGUGACGGUACCUUCAGAAGAAGCCCCGGCUAACUACGUGCCAGCAGCCGCGGUAAUACGUAGGGGGCAAGCGUUGUCCGGAAUCAUUGGGCGUAAAGCGCGUGUAGGCGGCUGAGUAAGUCCGUUCUGAAAGCCCGGGGCUCAACCCCGGGAGGCGGAUGGAUACUGCUCAGCUCGAGUCCGGAAGAGGCGAGUGGAAUUCCUGGUGUAGCGGUGAAAUGCGCAGAUAUCAGGAGGAACACCUAUGGCGAAGGCAGCUCGCUGGGACGGUACUGACGCUGAGACGCGAAAGCGUGGGGAGCGAACAGGAUUAGAUACCCCCGUAGUCC
rnacentral:rRNA from 1 species